rnacentral:rRNA from 1 species
GACGAACGCUGGCGGCGUGCCUAAUACAUGCAAGUCGAACGCAGUGGGGACGGGUGAGUAACACGUGGGUAACCUCCCAUCAGAGGGGAUAACACUUGGCUACAGGUGCUAAACACAUAUUGAUGGAUGGACCCGCGGUGCAUUAGCUCGUUGUUGAGGUAACGGCGCACCAAGGCCACGAUGCAUAUCCGAUCUGAUAUGGUGAGCGGCCACACUGGUACUGAGACAACGCCCAGACUCCCACGGGAGGCAGCAGUAUGGAAUCUUCAUCAAUGGACUAAAGUCUGACCGAGCAACGCCGCGUGUGUGAAGAAGGUUUUCGGAUCGUAAAACUCUGUUGUUAGAGAAGCGGUAUCUAACCAGAAAGCCACGGCUAACUACGUGCCAGCCGCCGCGGUAAUUC